GAUGAAGAACGUAGCGAAAUGCGAUAAGUAAUGUGAAUUGCAGAAUUCAGUGAAUCAUCGAAUCUUUGAACGCACAUUGCGCCCCCUGGUAUUCCGGGGGGCACGCCUGUUCGAGCGCCAUCACACCCUCCAAGCUCUGCUUGAUGUUGGGCGGCGUCCUGGGCGGCCCCUCCCGAGGGGUCGCCAAAAGGACUCGCCUGGAACGCCUGGGCGCCGUUGCGACGGACCGCGAGCGUAGCAAGACACCACUGUCGAUCGCUCUGCUGGCUCCCUCGCGCGGCCUGCCUCUCGGCCCUCCUGCCCUCGGGCGGGGGGUGCCACCCCACGAGUUUGGCCUCGAAUCAGGCGGGGAUACCCGCUGAACUUAAGCAUAUCAAUAAGCGGAGGA
rnacentral:misc_RNA from 1 species